GAUGAGCGCUAGCUACAGGCUUAACACAUGCAAGUCGAGGGGCAGCAUGUCGGUUGCUUGCAACCGAUGACGGCGACCGGCGCACGGGUGAGUAACGCGUAUCCAACCUACCCUUGUCCAUCGGAUAACCCGUCGAAAGGCGGCCUAACACGAUAUGCGGUUCUCAGCAGGCAUCUAACGAGAACGAAAUGUGAAGGAGAAGGAUGGGGAUGCGUCUGAUUAGCUUGUUGGCGGGGUAACGGCCCACCAAGGCGACGAUCAGUAGGGGUUCUGAGAGGAAGGUCCCCCACAUUGGAACUGAGACACGGUCCAAACUCCUACGGGAGGCAGCAGUGAGGAAUAUUGGUCAAUGGACGGGAGUCUGAACCAGCCAAGUAGCGUGCAGGACGACGGCCCUAUGGGUUGUAAACUGCUUUUAUAGGGGGAUAAAGUGUGCCACGUGUGGCAUAUUGCAGGUACCCUAUGAAUAAGGACCGGCUAAUUCCGUGCCAGCAGCCGCGGUAAUACGGAAGGUCCGGGCGUUAUCCGGAUUUAUUGGGUUUAAAGGGAGCGUAGGCCGUCUUAUAAGCGUGUUGUGAAAUGUCGGGGCUCAACCUGGGCAUUGCAGCGCGAACUGUGAGACUUGAGUGCGUAGGAAGUAGGCGGAAUUCGUCGUGUAGCGGUGAAAUGCUUAGAUAUGACGAAGAACUCCGAUUGCGAAGGCAGCCUGCUGUAGCGCAACUGACGCUGAAGCUCGAAAGCGUGGGUAUCGAACAGG
rnacentral:rRNA from 1 species